UACGUAGGGUGCGAGCGUUGUCCGGACUUAUUGGGCGUAAAGAGCUCGUAGGCGGUCUGUCGCGUCGGAUGUGAAAACUCGGGGCUCAACCCCGAGCCUGCAUUCGAUACGGGCAGACUAGAGUUCGGUAGGGGAGACUGGAAUUCCUGGUGUAGCGGUGAAAUGCGCAGAUAUCAGGAGGAACACCGGUGGCGAAGGCGGGUCUCUGGGCCGAUACUGACGCUGAGGAGCGAAAGCGUGGGGAGCGAACAGG
rnacentral:rRNA from 1 species